CGGGUCUUUGCUCGCUCAAAACUUUGUCCAGGAAUGCAUCCAUCUUGCAGUGAGCUUGUUUGCAGCGGGCUAUGCUCCAGUCGAGCCAGCUGAUACUGGGGAAGUAAUCGGCCAAGGAAAAACUUCCGGCUGACUCUAGCAAUUCGUCAAUGACCUCCACAAACUCCCGCGCCUCUGGAUCAUCGCUGGAAGCUUUGGAUCCAAAGUAAGUCUUGUUCAUAAGGAUGCGAGUCAUGACAUUGAAGCUCAGUGAUCUCAGCUUGCCUCGCAAUGGCACCGGUUGAUCCCCCUUGGAAGCCUUGGAGAGCUCGGCAGUAAGAUCCCACAGCUCGUCCCGGAUGAUUUUGGUGAAGGAGGUGACCCUCCUGGCCGUGAAGAGCUCCAUGGAACACAUCCUCCUAAUAUUCUUGUGGUACUCACCCUCGCCUGUAGUUAUACAUAGCGAUCUCGACGGACACUGUGUGCGAAUGCCGCAUCGUGGGUUUUGAGGAACUCCUUGGCCAUGGAUGAACUGGAAACUACAAAGAGUGGCACGGAUCCCAGGCGCAAGUACAUGGGGGCUCCAAACUUCUUGGAGAGGUGAUAGAGUGAGAUAUGGGGGAGCCUUCCCAGGAGAUGGAAGUGGCCGAUGAGAGGCAAAGCUCUAGGGCCUGGGGGAAGCUUGACGCGCUUGCUCCACAUCCAUUGCGUGAUAAAAAGCAGAGCAGUUAGAGCGACAAUCACUAACAACAUUCUCAGUCUAACUCUUUUUUCUUUAGUGUUGGUGUCAACUUUUUAAAGUGAAGAGAGCCUAGAAUAACUUAGAAGAGUGGUUCUCGUGAUUCAAAGUUGUGGGGAGAAUAAAUUGUCCUCCUGUAGCUAAAAGUCUUAGGCACUACUGAAAGUUGUGAGAAUCUUUGAAGCUAGAAGUCCAAUCUUUGCUAUCACCUAUGCAAGAGAAAUAGGCUUUUAAGAAUUUUAACUCUCUAAAGAUGAUUGAGUUUGUACACUCAUACUUUAGCCCAAGGAAAAUCUCUCAUUUUGAUAUAUCAUCUUGAAUGAAAGGAAUUGACUUAAUGAUAAUUGAUAAAAUGUAAAUGUGCUUAUUGAGGAGUAUAUUUAUUAUUAUUGAUUAAAAUAGUAACCAAACCCAACCUUUUGUUCAUGGGAUUUAAAUUCAAAACAUGUUAUAUGGGCAUCUUUAGCUUUUACAGUGAAUGCUAAACAAGUGGCAAAACUCUAUUUCUAUGAAAUAUUAUGGGUUCAUGAACUUUCAAAGAGAUAAUCUUGAAUAAAGAUUUGAGGUUUAUGGGAAAAUUUUGGGGCACACAUUCCAGUUGUUUGGUAUUAAAUUAAAGUUUAAUACAACUUAUCAUCUUCAAACAUAUGGGCAAACCAUAUGUAUAAUUGCUCAAGUUGAGGAUUAUUUGGAAUAUUAUGUCAUAACGGUUUAAUGUAAUUAGGUUGAGCAUUUGGACAUAAUAAAAAUCUAUUAUAAUAAUAAAUUUCACAACAUUAUUGGUUAUUCUUUAUAGGAGAUGCUACAAUGAAAUACUCAUGGGUUCCUCAAUAGAUCAUUAUUCUGAAACUAAUGUCUUGAAAUGUUAGCCUACCCAUUGAGACUUAUGCAAAACAACUAAACUAAAGUUAAUCUAAGGCAACUAAGGAAAUGGGCAAAACUCAAAAUAGGUAUCAAUGUAUUAGCACUACUGAAUAUAAUGUAUUAGGCUAAUUGUGGUUAUGAAUGUUAAGGGGUAUUUGUUUUGGAAGCUAUUACAAAGAUAUUGUUAGGCCUUAUUCGGUGUUAAAAAGAUGGUGAUAUAUCUUGUAAGUUGAAUCUUCUAGAUGAAUUAUCUUGUGCAUAUGAUGUGUUUCAUGUUAAUUUAUUGGCAUCAUAUCAUACUCAAAAUGUUUAAUAUAAAUUUAUUCUAUAUUCUCUAUUCUUUAGUACUUUAGUAGUUUCAUUGUCUUCACUUUUCUUGCCAAUGAACUUUUUGACAGUUUAAACAUUCUGAUAUUAAUAACUCACUCUAAUUUAUAACACAUAUAAGAAGUUAAAGUUCAGACAAGUAGAACUAUAUCUUUUAAUUUCGUAGGAACUAACAUGAUAAACCUUAAACCAUGGAUUUUUUGUUUGCUUAAACAAACCUAUAGGGACUAAGAUGGUAGUGAAUAUACCUAGAAUAUAUUUGAAUAUUCUAUAAUAAUUUACCAUCUAACAGUUGUUAUUCAUUUAGAUUAAUCUUGUAUUUAUAAUUUAUAAAAAUGUUUAUAAUUUGUAAACUUUUUAAAACCCUUUCUAGUAUAUUCUUUUUUAUUUCUAUCAUCUAAUAGUUGAUAUUUAGUCUUGUGUUUAUAAAUUACAAACACAUAUAAACUUAUAAACUUAUAAACGUUAUUUGAUCAAUUGAAUUAAUAAAUAAAAAUAACAUUACUAUUAAGCAUUUGCAACAUUAUUAUGCUGCAAGAGUGUCAAAAGCACACUGCUGAAGUCUUCGGGAAACAUGGGCCACAACAGCAUCUGCAACAGUAUCAACCAAUCCAGGGCCACUGUCAAGGGACAGCUUCCUUGUAUCUUCUGGAAACCUCCAGUCAAACCCAUGGAUCAAGUUUGAGAGCACCAACUGGACGUUCCGCAGCCCAAGAGGAAGCCCUGGACAACCUCGCUUUCCUGAUCCAAACGGAAGCAACUCAAAGUCAUGGCCAUAGACGUUGAUAUUGCUACCAACAAAUCUCCCAGGCUUGAACUUGUCGGGAUCAUUUGGCCAAGCCUGGGAGUCCCUUCCAAUCGCGUAUGCGUUGAUGAGCACUGUCGCCUUUGCUGGAAUCUCAAAGCCCGCAACCAGUCGAGGCUCCGGGGAUGUGUGUGGGACCAGCAGCCCCAGCGGGGGAUGGAGACGAAAUGUCUCCUUGAUAACAGCGUUGACAAGCUCCAGCUUCGCCAAGUCCGACUCUUCCACCAUUCGAUCUCGCCCAACCACGAUUUCAAUCUCUUGCUGAAGUUUUUCUAUCCAUUCAGGAUUGUGGAGAAGCUCGGCCAUAGCCCAUUCAGUCGUGGUUGACGAUGUCUCGGAGCCAGCAAUAAGUAAAUCCUAGGCGAGCAAAGAGAGACUUAGCGCGAUCAAACGAAGAGUUUUCACUUACCAUGAGCAACGCUUUGAGAGUCUGGAUCUGGUCGGGGCCGUUGACUCGCGCCUUUGUCAUCUCCACAAAGUCUGGAAUUUCUCCAGGCCUUUGCUCAUCCAAAACAUUCUCCAGGAACGCAUCCAUCUUCCCGUAAGCUCGUCUACACCGGCGGGCUAUGCUCCGGUCGAGCCAGCCGAUACUGGGGAAAUAAUCUUCUAUGGCGAACGCCCCCACUGCCGCUAGCACCUCGUCAAUCGUCUCCAAAAAAUCCCGCGCCUCUUGGCCACCACCGCCGGAAGCCUUGGAUCCGAAGAAAGUCUUGUUCAUGAGGAUCCGAGUCAUGACAUUGAAGCUCAGUGCUCUCAGCUUGCCUCGCAGUGCCACUGGUUGAUCCGCCUUGGAAGCAUUGGUGAGCUCGGCAGUGAGGUCCCACAGCUCGUCCCGGAUGAUUUUGGUGAAGGAGGUGACCCUCCUGGCCGUGAAGAGCUCCAUGGAGCACAUCCGCCGAAGGUUCUUGUGGUACUCACCCUCCGAGAAAGAUAUGGUCUUGUAGCUAUACACGGCCACUUUGGGUGGCCUGUGCGCGAAUGCUGCAUCGUGGGUCUUGAGGAACUCCCUGGCCAUGGCAGGACUGGAAAUCACAAUGAGUGGCACGGAUCCCAGGCGCAAGUACAUGAGGGGUCCGAACUUCUUGGAGAGGUGAUAGAGUGAGA
rnacentral:lncRNA from 1 species